CAACUAUUCUUCUUCGGGGCAAAAUUCCACCAGCAAUACAAACCCAUAGAUACAAUUCCUGCGUCCGCUGCGUCCGAAAAGAAUGCCGACUUUGGACGAUUGUGGAAUCGAUCGCACAGUCUGAAUUCAAUUAUUUUUUGGUACGGAGCCCACGAGUUGGUGAUCACUGGAGGAGUGAAGCACGGCGUUUAACUGUGAAAUCACCGUGCAGCAAUGAGGUGGAUCAGCACAAACAUUAACCUGAAGCCCCAGCACUGGCCUUUGCAGGAACUAAAUCCUGCCCAAAUGAAUGACAAUGCUCCUGAAGGAGAACGACGGAUAAGGACUUACAUAGACAAGGAUAGCGGAGAACAAUUUUAGUUAGCAUUAAAACAGACCUACAGAAGGGGGCAGUUAAUUUCCAUCUGUUAGAAAAGACAUUUAAAAUCCCGAUUACUCAUUUAUCAGUUAUAACAUGAUAUUCAGUAAAAGCAGAGCAAACAAAAACAAUAAAAACAGUGAACAUUCAAACAUU